rnacentral:rRNA from 1 species
GACGAACGCUGGCGGCGUGCUUAACACAUGCAAGUCGAACGGAAAGGCCCCUUCGGGGGUACUCGAGUGGCGAACGGGUGAGUAACACGUGGGCAACCUGCCCUCAGCUCUGGGAUAACUCCGGGAAACCGGGGCUAAUACUGGAUAUUCACUUCUCAUCGCAUGGUGGGUGGUGGAAAGUUUUUCUGCUGGGGAUGGGCCCGCGGCCUAUCAGCUUGUUGGUGGGGCGAUGGCCUACCAAGGCGACGACGGGUAGCCGGCCUGAGAGGGCGACCGGCCACACUGGGACUGAGACACGGACCAGACUCCUACGGGAGGCAGCAGUGAGGAAUAUUGGUCAAUGGGCGAGAGCCUGAACCAGCCAUUCCGCGUGAAGGAAGAAGGCCUUAUGGGUUGUAAACUUCUUUUCUGUAAGAAGAAAAGUCCCGACGUGUCGGGAUGUGACGGUAUUAUAGGAAUAAGCAUCGGCUAACUCCGUGCCAGCCGCCGCCGUAAAAC